GAUGAACGCUGGCGGCGUGCUUAACACAUGCAAGUCGAACGGGAAACCUUUUAUUUAAGCUUCGGCAGAUUUAGCUGGUUUCUAGUGGCGGACGGGUGAGUAAUGCGUGGGUAACCUGCCUUAUACAGGGGGAUAACAACCAGAAAUGGUUGCUAAUACCGCAUAAGCGCACAGGACCGCAUGGUCCGGUGUGCAAAACUCCGGUGGUAUAGGAUGGACCCGCGUUGGACUAGCUAGAUGGCAGGGUAACGGCCUACCAUGGCGACGAUCCAUAGCCGGCGCGUGAGGGUGAACGGCGACAUUGGGAGUGGGACACGGCGCAGACUGCUGCGGGAGGUAGCAGUGGGGAAGAUUGCAAGCUGGGGGAAUGCCUGAUGCAGCGCCGCCGCGUAAAGGAAGAAGUAUCUCGGUAUGUAAACUUCUAUCAGCAGGGAAGAUGGUGACGGUACCUGACUAAGAAGCCCCGGCUAACUACGUG
rnacentral:rRNA from 1 species